GUGCUCACUUGGGCAGCACAUAUACUAGAAUUGGAGAAGACUAGCAGGGCCCCUGUGCAAGGAUGACAUGCAAAUGGGUGAAGCAGUCCAUGUUUUU
ensembl:snRNA U6 U6 spliceosomal RNA